GACGAACGCUGGCGGCGUGCCUAAUACAUGCAAGUCGAACGCAGUGGGGACGGGUGAUUAACACGUGGCUAACCUCCCAUCAGAGGGGAUAACACUUGGAUACAGGUGCUAAAACCGAUACUGAUGGAUGGACCCGCGGUGCUUGAGCUAGUUGGGGAGGUAACGGCUAACCAAGGCCACGAUGCAUAGCCGCACUGAGAGGGUGAUCUGCCACACUGGGACUGAGACACGGCCCAGACUCCUACGGGAGGCAGCAGUAGGGAAUAUUCGGCAAUGGACGAAAGUCUGACCGAGCAAUGCCGCGGGAGUGAAGAAGGUUUUCGGAUCGUAAAACUCUGUUGGUGGAGAAGCGGUAUCUAACCAGAAAGCCACGGCUAACUACGUGCCAGCAGCCGCGGUAAUAC
rnacentral:rRNA from 1 species